UCUUGGUUAUUCGGAGAAGUUGUUGAAAAAAGCAUAUGGCGCCAAUCCUCUGUUAUGUCUUUCCAUAUAGUUAUCAUGUAUUUGCUCAAUUUUUUUUGGAUGUAUCUCCCCAUUUUCAUUUAAUUGGCAGCAUAUGUCCAUGGGUACAAAAUCUAAAUUGAAACAUUUUACCAUAUUGUCUACUCAAUAAGACAACAUUAUUGCUCUCUUUUUCCCUACAUAACCCUUACAAAUCAUAUGAGUUACCUUGGUUUGCACCAUCCUGUGCAAUAGGCAAACUUUUGUUUUCAUUGCAGUUGCCUUUUUGAGCUUGACGUUAUAGACAGAAGUUGUACAAUGUCCAUGACAACCGAACAAACAUAUGAAACUCUUGCUAUCAAGGUUCACACAAAGAUUUUACACUGAAAUAUAAAUAACACAUUUCCAUGCUUUCUCAUUAUAAUUUAGUACUGAUAUCAUGUUAUGUAGAUCUUAAUUGGUGUGUUCUUUUUUUGACAAUUGGUUGGUGAACUGUUCACUCUUCAGCUACAAAGUUUCUACUCAAAAUUUCAGAUAAAAUGACUACUAUACUGGUCAUUUUAUUUUGCACGGAAAGAAAUCAUGCUUUUCCCGAAUUGAUCAACAUCUCUCCUUCCUAGAGAAGGAAUGAAGAAACGAAAAUUGCGCUGCCCAGAAAUAUGCAUUCCAAAUACUUGAAAUAACAUAUUCUAUGGUCUACUUAUUAUCUUGCAAUACUUUCCUUAAUUUGAUGCAGCGAAAACAAAGCUUGCUUUCAGCAAACAACAAAGAAACUAAUAAAAUAAUUUAAACCAACAAACAUUGGAAUGACAAUAGGG
rnacentral:lncRNA from 1 species